rnacentral:rRNA from 1 species
GCUACCCUGGGGAUAACAGGCUUAUCUCCCCCAAGAGUUCACAUCGACGGGGAGGUUUGGCACCUCGAUGUCGGCUCAUCGCAUCCUGGAGCGGAAGUACGUUCCAAGGGUUGGGCUGUUCGCCCAUUAAAGCGGUACGCGAGCUGGGUUCAGAACGUCGUGAGACAGUUCGGUCCCUAUCUGUCGCAGGCGCAGGAUAUUUGAAAGGAGCUGUCCUUAGUACGAGAGGACCAGGAUGGACAUACCAAUGGUGCAACAGUUGUUCUACCAAGAGCAUAGCUGUGUAGCCAAGUUCGGAAUGGAUAAACGCUGAGAGCAUCUAAGUGUGAAGCCAACUCCAAGAUAAGAUAUCCCAUACCGUUAAGGUAGUAAGAUUCCAUGAAGACUACGUGGUUGAUAGGUUGGGGGUGUAAGUGAAGCGAUUCACUGAGCUGACCAAUACUAAUAAAUCGAGGGCUUAACCAUAA